GGGGCCGUCGUCUAGCCUGGACUAGGAUGCCAGCCUGGGGCGUGGAGCCCCGCGCCGGGGUCCACCCGGAUCGCUGGUGGCCCGGGUUCAAAUCCCGGCGGCCCCA
rnacentral:tRNA from 1 species